GGUUGUAGCUCAGUGGUAAAGUGCUUGCCUAGCACGUGUGAAGCACUGGGUUCGAUGCUCAGAACCA
rnacentral:tRNA from 1 species